GACAGAGGGUGCAAACGUUACUCGGAAUUACUGGGCUUAAAGCGCGUGUAGGCGGCCCGGCACGUCGGACGCUGAAAUCCCCCGGCUCAACCGGGGAACGGGCGCCGAUACGACCGGGCUGGAGGGGGGUAGGGGGCGCCGGAACUUCCGGUGGAGCGGUGAAAUGCGUUGAGAUCGGAAGGAACGCCCGUGGCGAAAGCGGGCGCCUGGACCCCACCUGACGCUGAGACGCGAAAGCCAGGGGAGCGAACGGG
rnacentral:rRNA from 1 species